UAAAAUCAAAUAUAUUUUAUAUUUUAUAAAUAAAAAUUGAAUAAUAGAAAAAAAUCUAAAAAUGAAACUUUUUGUAAAUUAAUAUCUCUAUAAAUUAAUAAAUUUUUGAAGUUCCAACAUUAUUAAUUUAUAGAGGUUCUACUGUAUAUAUAUGUUUUUAAAAUUAUAAUCUUAGAUAGAUUUUUAAUCUAUUUCUUUUGGUAUGUAUUAAUCAACUUGUAUAAAAUUAAUUGAAAAUUUUGGUAUAAAAAGUGUAUAAUAAAGUAAAACUAAACAAAAUUUCUAAAAUUUGUAGAUAUAUAAAAGAAACAAAAGAUAUCAAAAUAAUAUUUUUUUGAAAAUCGUAGAAAAAUCAGAAAAUGUUUUUACUAAAGUUAUGUAAUUAAAAAUAGAAAUAAACAAUAUUUUGAAAAUUUAAAAAUAUUAUUAUAUUUUUACUACUAUAUUAUUUAAUGUCAUAUUUUAAUAGAUUUUUUUUAAUAAUGAUGUAUAAUUUACUACCAUAUUCUAAGAAAAUUACCAAAAAUAUAAAUCAGCAUUAAUGAAAUCAUUCAUGUCGGUUUUUCAUAAGCAUGUCAUAUAUCUUAUUGCGUCAUGUCAUGUUUUUUUUUAGUGAAAUUGUCUAUGCAGAUUACAUGUCAGCAUAAUUUAAAAAAUCAUUUUGUAAAUAAUAACUAGGGGACUACUGUAGAUAAAACCAUGAAUUAAAACAAUUAUGAAAUAACAUAAAAUUUACGAAAAGACUAGGAACAUGACAAAUACGAUUCACAAAAGUUAGGAACUCAGUCAGCACCCUAUGAAAUUUAACAACCAAAUUUUACCAUCUGAACUAACUGACAUUCGAUGUAAUUCGCCCCUAAACGUUUUUAACAAUACCGGCCCUCAAGCUAUUGCUUGAUGAGCUUGUACUCAAGCCUGGCCCUUGAGAGGAUGGUUACUGAACUUCAUAACUAGUCAUGACUCAUGACAUACCUAUCCUACUAUAUAAAAUGAACUAUUUUGGAGGCUUCUAAGAUGUGUCACAUACGCAGAAAAUUCCUGGCCAAUCAAUCUACCAGCUCAUCUCAGACUCGACUGAUAUCCAUGUCAAUUACGAAGCCCAAACAAUUUAUUUGAAUCCCAGUCAAUACUGAAGUCAGCCCAAUAUCCAUUUACGGUAUAUGAUACCAAGAAACUAAGAAGCUCAUUCUAUUUUAUGAAAUUACAUGCUUUUAUUUAGUCUUUCGCCACAGUGACCGGAGGCAUGUUGAAUCACAAAGCUUCUCACGCAUCCCAUUAUUAUGCUAUUUCAAUUGAGGUUCUUAGUGUUGUUCUAACUUAUAUUUAAAAAUAAAUUUUAUUAAAUGUUAUUGAUUUUACUAUUAUCUUAAUAAAAUUUAAUAUAGAUUUGAUAUAUAUUAUAUCAAAUUGUAUAAAACUAAUAAAAUAAUAUAAAAUUGUAUAAUUAUCAAACAUUUGGCCUAAACAAUAUUUUUAAAAUUUUGCAGAUAUAUAAGAAACUAAAUAUCAUACGAUUAGAUAUUUAGAUGUUUAAAAAUUGCAUAUUUUUAAAAGCUUUAGUAAUACAAAUUGUAUAAUUAUAUAAAAAUAAUAAUAUUACUAAAUCUGGAAUGUUAUAUAUGAAUAUAUAUUUAUUUUAUAGAUGAUGCAUAAGAUAUUACCAACAUUAAAUAAAAUUAUCCGUCUCAUGUUUAUUUUUUUAAUUGUAGAGAUGACAUGUAGCAAAAUGCCCAAAAUGACCCUAAUACCCUAGAUAUAUAGAAAAUAUAAAAAAUUUGAAAUAUAAUAUAAUAAUUAUUUAUAGAUCCAAACUGGUACGUUUAACUUUAUGGGACAAAGAGACGUCUAAUUUCAGGGAGUUAAAUCGCAUAUCUACCAGAAAAAACCAAAUCGUAAUCAUCACAAGUAUCAUUCUACGGUUACAUGAAGGUAAUAAACUAAACAUAAAGUUUAUGUCAAACUAAAAUGCUUACAAAUAUUUCACUUUUUUCAGGGAAACUAUAACUCACAACCACAUCUGGAUCGCGCUUCUACUUUGACAACGAUAUUGAUAUCAUACAACGCUUCCAUGAAGAGGAAUAAAUUGCUAUCCUAAGCCUCAUAGCAAACCACACCAAUCAACUUUUUUAAAAUUUACGUUACAGCUUUCUACGUCAAUUAAAUAGACACACUACUAUUUUCUCUUACGAAUAUUAAAUUCAUUAACAUAAUUUAUUAUUCAAACUUACUUUAGUUUAUUAAAAAAAAUGAUCACCAUUUCCAACGUCUUCGCAUUAUAAAAAAACAAAACUUAACUUACACUUUCAGAAACUUCAAAACUCCUAAUUUUAAUUAAACUGUUCUUUAAUUAAACAUGUAAUCCACGCGAAGCGACACGGCUCUAGUUCAAUUAAAGUGAGGUCCGUUCAUGAUUGUAAAAUGAAGAAGUGAAAAACAAUAUAUACACGUUAGGUUUAUGCAUAACUUCGUAUCAUAAAAAUAGAUUAUAACCAUAUCUAGAAUGUGUAACGUCAGAAAUCCCAAUAUUCUUAGUGCAUUGACUAGGAUUAAUUACCUACAAUAUUAUACCAUAGCAUAUCAAAACUAAUUUAUUACUAAAUAUGAAAAUGUUGACUUUAGUUAACACAAAGAACACAGUCCCUAUCUAUAUACAAACCCUUGUAACCUAGUUACACGAACCAACAUUCAUACUCAACGAACACUUUCAGUCAAUUUUGAUAAUAUUCUUUGUAUAAAGAUCUUUAUUAUCAACAAGAAAAUAUGGAGAACAAAAUAAUCGCGAUGUUAGUGGUGAUAAUGGGGAGCCUUUUGGUCGAGACAGAGGCUAUGGGUUUUCAAGAAUGUUGCAAAGGUUGUAUUUCGGCUUGUGGUGCAGACGGAUUAAGUACAUGGACAUGUCCUGUCACGUGUCUCACGAUUUGUAUACAACCUUCUGAGCCAGAUCUUCAGGAAAUAGACCAGACUGAUUAUUUUUGCAGACUUGGAUGUGCUACCAAUCGUUGUGUUCCAUCCUCCUCGAUUGAAGAUAAGGGUCACGCAGAGAAAGUUUCGGUAUGUGUGGAUUCAUGCUCAGAUAUGUGCUCUAACAAGAACUAAAGCCUAUACAUUAAUUUGUUUUUGUUCUUUGUAAACUAGCGUCUAAUAAGAAGAUAUAAACAUGGAUUGGUUUGUAUCGAUUAAGUAUUCAAAUCCAAAGGAGAAUGAUUUAUUGAUUUGAUACUAUAUUGUGUUACAAACAAGUAUAUUGACAAAAUAUCGAUCCGAAACAAAGAGUCAAAAAUGAUAAAAAGGGUGUGUUUAAUAACAAUUUUGUAGAUUGUCCAAUGUGUUUCCCGUUUCCAUCUAAUGUUAUUGCAACAACGAUUGUUGUUAAUUAUUUUAAAUUUCAUCAGAAGAAAGUUAUUAUGGUUAGUUUAUCAAUAUCAUCAAUCGACAAAAUGGAACUGAACUUCAUCGUUGUGGUUUAUUUCUUUCUCUAAUAUCCUAGUAUUUUGCGUACACGUACAUUUUCGUUAGACUAAACAUUGUAAAUCAUGUUUAUCUUCCAAGUGUGUUGCAUGCAUCUUCUAAUUGCGAGAGCUGCUCACCUCAAAAACUGGUCGGACUUUGGUAAUACUGGAUACAUCUACAUUCAGGGUCUGAUCUUACCGGAAUCGAUGCUGUGAAAAAGAGAAUCGAAGACGUCUCGACCAUAACACCGUCGUGAUCUGUAAAGUUUAGAUGCAGAGACGUAGCAGUAAAAACGAUAGAUGAAGCAGAGACAAUGUAUGGUGGUGAUGGAAGAAGAGCGGUGGUAGUUAGUAAUUAAAAAAGAAAAAGGUAUUUUAAUAUUUCAUUAACCGGAUACGAAGGGUAAUAUAGUAUAUAUUAUAGAAGUAAUAGAUGUACUGUUUUUGGGUUAAAUAUUGAAUUAUGCUUUAUUUUGUAGUUAUCCAGUCCAAUUUUCCAUAAAAACAACUUGAUCAUCUUUAGAAAU